rnacentral:rRNA from 1 species
AGUCGAGCGCCCACUUCGGUGGGAGCGGCGCACGGGUGCGUAACGCGUGGGAACAUACCCUUAGGUGCGGAACAACGUUUGGAAACGGACGCUAAUACCGCAUAAUAUCUCCGGAUCAAAGAUUUAUCGCCUAGGGAUUGGCCCGCGUAAGAUUAGCUUGUUGGUGAGGUAAAAGCUCACCAAGGCGACGAUCUUUAGCUGGUCUGAGAGGAUGAUCAGCCACACUGGGACUGAGACACGGCCCAGACUCC